rnacentral:rRNA from 1 species
CAGCAGUGGGGAAUCUUGCGCAAUGGGCGAAAGCCUGACGCAGCAACGCCGCGUGCGGGAUGAAGGCCUUCGGGCUGUAAACCGCUUUCAGCAGGAACGAAAAUGACGGUACCUGCAGAAGAAGGAGCGGCCAACUACGUGCCAGCAGCCGCGGUGACACGUAGGCUCCAAGCGUUGUCCGGAUUUAUUGGGCGUAAAGAGCUCGUAGGCGGUUUAGUAAGUCGGGUGUUAAAACUCUGGGCUCAACCCGGAGAGGCCAUCCGAUACUGCUGUGACUUGAGUUCAGGAGGGGAGCGGGGAAUUCCUAGUGUAGCGGUGAAAUGCGCAGAUAUUAGGAGGAACACCGGUGGCGAAGGCGCCGCUCUGGACUGAAACUGACGCUGAGGAGCGAAAGCAUGGGUAGCAAACAGGAUUAGAUACCCCUGGUAGA